UCGGUUCGCUCUGUUGGUGGGGCGGUGCAUUUGCAAGUGGAGUGCGCUGAGCGGUGCGGCGCAGCGGUUGGAGGCCUGUUCAGAGGCCACCACUCCGGUGGUGGAACCCGGGCGGGUGGAAGACUGUUUGCGCUGCUCUGUGCGUGGGGCGUCGGCCUACGGCCCCCGUUGUCGACACGGCUCCCGCUCGUGGCGGUCGCAUGCGACACGUGCCUGCGGGUGUGGUGCUGGCGGCGGGGCUCCCGGCGCCCUGUUCGGCGUAAAAGUUGGUCAUCUCUCCGACCCGUCUUGAAACACGGACCAAGGAGUUUAACGUAUGCGCGAGUCAUUGAGUGCCAAACUCAAAGGCGAAAUGAAAGUGAAUGUGACAUGCGAUCCCGUGCUCUCCGGGGCGCAGGGGCAGCAUGGCCCCGUCCCGAUCGCUUGCGAUGGGGCGGAGGCAGAGCGCAUGCGCUGAGACCCGAAAGAUGGUGAACUAUUCCUGAGCAGGACGAAGCCAGAGGAAACUCUGGUGGAAGUCCGAAGCGGUUCUGACGUGCAAAUCGAUCGUCUGACUUGGGUAUAGGGGCGAAA
rnacentral:rRNA from 1 species